GACGAACGAGGGAGGCGUGCGUAACACAUGCAAGUCGAACGGAAAGGCCCUGCUUUUGUGGGGUGCUCGAGUGGCGAACGGGUGAGUAACACGUGAGUAACCUGCCCUUGACUUUGGGAUAACGUCAGGAAACUGGGGCUAAUACCGGAUAGGAGCUCCUGCUGCAUGGUGGGGGUUGGAAAGUUUCGGCGGUUGGGGAUGGACUCGCGGCUUAUCAGCUUGUUGGUGGGGUAGUGGCUUACCAAGGCUUUGACGGGUAGCCGGCCUGAGAGGGUGACCGGCCACAUUGGGACUGAGAUACGGCCCAGACUCCUACGGGAGGCAGCAGUGGGGAAUAUUGCACAAUGGGCGGAAGCCUGAUGCAGCAACGCCGCGUGCGGGAUGACGGCCUUCGGGUUGUAAACCGCUUUCGCCUGUGACGAAGCGUGAGUGACGGUAAUGGGUAAAGAAGCACCGGCUAACUACGUG
rnacentral:rRNA from 1 species